rnacentral:lncRNA from 1 species
GACACUAUGGAAGGGCAACUACUGGAGGAGUCUGGAUGGUACUGUGGAAGCUUGGACGGUCGGGAGAGUUCAGAAAGACGUCGCACAAGGUCAGAAGUCAGAAGAGUCUUGGGAGGGUUGGCCUCUUACGAACUUCGGCUGGGGUUAUUUUUUACCCAACAGACCUGAUCAAAUCAGAAUCAAUUCUUCCCUACCGAUUAGGUCAUCUCAUAACCUAAUCGAACCUCAUCU